rnacentral:rRNA from 1 species
UACGGGGGGUGCGAGCGUUGUCCGGAAUCACUGGGCGUAAAGGGCGCGUAGGUGGCCUGAUAAGGGUGUGGUGAAAGUCCGGGGCUCAACCCCGCGUCGGCCGUGCGAACUGUUUUGCUUGAGCACUGUAGAGGCAGGCGGAAUUCCGGGUGUAGCGGUGGAAUGCGUAGAGAUCCGGAAGAACACCGGUGGCGAAGGCGGCCUGCUGGGCAGUAGCUGACACUGAGGCGCGACAGCGUGGGGAGCAAACAGG